CCGCGCAGGGCUGGCCCGCAGGCCGCUCCUGCGACUGCCGAGACUCGUCCGCCCCGCCCCUGCGGCCAGUGUGGCUUUUGACAGUCCGGUCUUUUGGAGAAGCCCCCCAGUCCUCGGCGUCCCCUGUAGGGCUUUUAGACCCGUGGCCCCCAGUGGCCUAAAUCUCUGCGCCCUCCACUCAUCAGCCACUGCCCGCCCCACCUCGCUCUCUGCCUCCGCGCGCCCUUGCAAACGCUCUCCGGAGCUUUGGUUAUCCCAGACUAACUCCCCGCGUUUUCCUCCUUCCUUUCAGGUCGCUGCCUUUCAGCCCCAGAAAUUUUUCUUCCUCUGGGCUGGGUCCUGAACCAGUUCCUAAGACGACCUGACCUUUCCCAUGGCUUAACCCCCAGACCCAGGCAUCCAUAGCGCCAAAUCUGUAUCUCCCAAGCAUCCCACUAUCGGCUCCACGUCCCUCGUCAAACUGCUCUUCCCGCUGUCGUUACUUUCUCAGAACAUGGCCCCAAUUCUUCUAAGAUGCUUGGGCCAAGACCCUUGGAGGUAUCCUUGAGCCCUCAGUCGGCCUCCACCACCCAGCAAUCUUGUAAGGCCUGUUUACCACGGAAUAUCUCCACUCCUCCCACAAACCCAACAUCUGUCUUUUCUCAUCCAGACUAUUUACCCUCCUUGGUCUGGCCUGCGUCUAUUCUUCAUGCUUCAGUCUUUAAAAACAAGUUUAAAUUGUGAUCCCCUACCUUUGGCUUCAAACCUUCCAUGACUUCCCAUUGCAUGUAAAAUUCACACUCACUCCUGUCCCAGCUGGUCCUGUGUGAUCUGGCCCCUUUCUUUCCCUCCCACUUCAUCUCUCCCCACCUCCUCUUCACUCUCCAUUCUCCAGCCACAAGGCCUUUAAGUGGUUAUUUGAAUAAUUCACACUCCAUCUUCCGGAAACCAUUUCCCUAGACUUGCCCCUGCAAUGUGGACACCCCUGUCACAGAAAAACUGAAGACACCUGUGGUCACAGUGGAGCCCAUCUGACAGAUGUUGUGUCAGGCAGAGCAGGACAACUUCAGAGGCGAGAGGCCCAGCAGAGCACCCAGCUGGUGCCAGAGAAAGAUCCAGGCUUCUGGAAUUUGGCCAGGCCCCCAGGGGAUCCAGAAAUCUCUGUCAACAGGAGCUCAAAUUUUCAGCCUGCUGCCAGGCCCUUAAUCAGAAAACAAGGCUCCAUUUCCUCCUGGGACUUCUGAACCAGCAUCCCAAGCCUCAGAUGAAAAAACUGAGGCACAGAGAGAUUAAGAGACAUGUUUAUGGACAUAGAACUGAGAGGUGGCAGAGAGGGGAUUCAAACCCAGGCAUCCUGGCUGCAGAGUCAAUGCUAUGUUGCCUCUCAUGUAGGUAUGAACUAUUUUGUUGUGUGUUCUCACCCUUUUCCUUAAUACCCCUACCUGAUGUGUUUUUUAUUUUUAGUUAUAGAUAUUCCUUGACUUACAAUGGGGUUACAGCCCAAUGAAAUCAUCGUAAGUUGAAAAUACAGUAAGCCAAAAAUGCAUUUACUGGGCCUAACCUCCAGAACAUCAUAGUUUGGUCUAGCCUACCUUAAAUAUGCUCAGAACACUUACACAGGCCCACAGUUGGGCAAAAUCAUCUAACACAAAGCCUGUCCUAUACUAAAGUGUUGAAUGGUUCCUGUAAUUUACUGAAUACUGUAGUGAAAGUGAAAAAUAGAAUGGUUGUACAGGUGCAGAGUGGUUGUUGACCUUGAUCACACAGCUGACUGGGAGUCGUAGCCACUGCCCAGCAUCAUGAGAGAGGAGCAUACUGCGGAUGGCUAGCCAGGAAAAGAUCAAAAUCCAAAAUACGGUUUCUACUGAAUGCAUAUCGCUUUUGCACCAUCAUUAAGAUGAAAAAUUGUAAGUCAGACUGUCAUAAAUCAGGGACCAUCUAUAGUUGGUUAAAUGAUGUCACAGAUUAGGUUCUUUGGGAAGCGGACUCUGGGGCAGAGAUUAGUGUGCAGAAUGUUUGUUAGGGAGUGCUCUUGGGACCAACACUGUGGAAAGGAGAGAAGGAAACAGAACAGGGCACAGGGAGAAGUUCAGCUGUGAUGCAGGCCUGAUGACAGCCGCAGCCAACCUCCAGGGAGCUGUUUUGUCUGAUGCUGGCUUGAAAAUGGCUGGGCCUUCAUAGCCCCACUUCAGUCAGCCCUGGGAAGAGCACAGCCUCAGUCACAUGGCUCUCUGCAGCUGAGGUGAUCUUUGAGAGUUGAGAGAUCCUCCAGCAGUUGGGGCAACAAGUGCUUCCUUGAAGGAGAAUCUGAGUGGCACAUCGCUAUACCUACCUCAAAUGUAUUCCUUUCCAGUCCUUUAAAAAAGUUUAGAGUAUUUAAAACAAAGGACAAAAAUAUUGCACUGUAGAAAUGGAAUGUGCCAUUAGAAGGAGGAAUAUAAUAUGGUUAGUAUGGGUUAACGUGACUGCUGUUACUGAGAAUUGAAUGUGGCUGAGCUUCCUGGUAAGCAAAGCAAAAACUUUUUAUUCUGGUAACAUUCCCUGACGGAGAAAAAUUUUCUUGGGGUUAAAUUCUAAAAGAAGUUUCUUGGGGUGCCUGGGUGGCUCAGUUGGUGAAGUCCAAUUUCGGCUCAGGUCAUGAUCUCAUGAUUCAUGGGUUCCAGCCCCACAUUG